GGCUUGUUGGUGUAGCGGUUAGCACAAAAGACUCUGAAUCUUUAGACCGGGGUUCGAAUCCCCGACGAGCCU
rfam:Guillardia theta CCMP2712 unplaced genomic scaffold GTITHscaffold_150, whole genome shotgun sequence.